UGCGUAGGCGGCCUGGUAAGUUGGAUGUGAAAUCCCUCGGCUCAACCGAGGAACUGCGUUCAAUACUGCCAGGCUUGAGGGGGAUAGGGGUGAGCGGAACUAAUGGUGGAGCGGUGAAAUGCGUUGAUAUCAUUAGGAACACCGGAGGCGAAAGCGGCUCACUGGGUCUCUUCUGACGCUGAGGCACGAAAGCUAGGGGAGCGAACG
rnacentral:rRNA from 1 species